UGUUUAUAAGUAAUACUGAGAUUUCCAUUUAUACAAAUCCCAACAGUAAUUACAAUAUCAAUGGUGGUCUAUAUAAAACAAGCUUUGCAUUUAAUGCAGAUGGACAUAUUCAUAUUUUUUUCAAAUGUAAAAUACAUGAAUGUUUUUAAGCUUUAUGAAAAGUAUUUAUGCAUGGGUAUAAGAUAUAUAUGUAUGUGCUUUGUUCAUGGUAUAUCAACUUUGAUACCUAGAAAAUAAUACAAACUUCCAUCAUAAUUCAUUUUUUUUCAUUUAAUUUUUUUAAGGUGACUUCAGCCAGAAAAAUAAAAUACCAUACAUUUGAUUAGUUUUCCAACAACAGUAAUAGUAAACUUGUCAUUACUAUGUUAGCUCCUAACUUGAAUCAAAUUUCUCAAAUAUUUCAUGAUGAAAUAAUUUUAAUACAAAAUAUGACUUUUCAUAACUACAAGAUUGCUAAAUUGUAACCAAAUAUUUUGUGUCACAUACAUAAAUUGACUGUGGUACACUAGCUAGACUGUGGUACACAAGCUACACUGAGGUACACUAGCUAGACUGAGGUACACUCGCUAGACUGAGGUACACUAGCUAGACUGUGGUACACUAGCUAGACUGAGGUACACAAGCUAGACUGAGGUACACUAGCUAGACUGUGGUACACUAGCUAGACUGUAGUAUACUAGCUAGACUGAGGUACACUAGCUAGACCGUGGUACAUUGUGAACACUAUUCCCCUAGCAGCUAUGUAUCUAACUGCCCCUUGUCACAAUCAAUAUAGUAGACUAUGGAUUUCCAGAAACACAUUGUAGCCACUGACCUUGUAGGACCCUCAUGGUUAGUAAACCUUGUCGUACUGUAGCCAAAUGACAAGACAAAUACUACAGUAGACUUAUGGAAAACCAGUCACAAACCAGUGUAGACUUGUGGUACACCAGCUACACACUUUAGCAAGAUUAUGAUACAAAAAGCUAAUAGUCCAAGUCUGAUCAAUCCCACAAAAUUGUCAAAUAAAUAUGGUGGAAUAGAAUAGUACAGUUUCAGAGGAACAAUAUAAAGAGAAGUGUCUAUGGUAGACUUAAAUAAAUAUUAACUUUUUGUUGAUAAAUUUUCAACUUAAGUAAAAUUGCCAUGAAAAAUUAAAUAAUAAAGCUUGACUUGACCAUCUUUCACCCAUACAUAAACAGUAAAACAGUUUUUCAAAUGACUCAAAACAGAUGCAUGUAAAAAAAUAAAAGCAAUAUCAUAGAAAAUAAAGAGAUCUUAAAUGAGAUAAGUCAAUUCAAUUCAUUCACUUCAGAAAUUAGGGGUAAAUGUUUUAAACCCUUGUCAGAAACAUAUUUGUUAAAGUACAAGUUUUAUGAAUUAUGGUAAGUUUAAAUUAACAACAUAUUACAAUACAGUUUGGUUCAUGAUAGUUUAUUGUUUGUGCAGUAAAAUGAAUUUCCAGUAUCUGCAGUGGAAUACAAUGAUUAUAUAUGUUAUAAAGAAUAUCUAAGUAAUGGAGUAAAAAGGAUGACACUGUAUAAAAAAGAGAAAUGUCGUUUGUACAAAUCAGUUCACAAUAAUCAAACAAAAUGUCUAAUACACAUUGGUUCAUUCAACUUAUUAAAUGAUAGCAAACUUAAUCAUUUAAACUAUAGAUACAUGUAUAUAAUAUUUGUAACUGAAUGUUGUAGCAUGAUCUUUGAAUGAUGAAAUAAUACUAAAGGUUAUACUUGUAUACAUUUGUAUUAAUGAUAAAUACCAUUACAAGGGAGGUAAUAAUGUUGAUGAACUUACGUUAAUGUUUACACUUAAUUUUCUUUCAAUCAGCACAUUCUAAUCAUUCACAGUCUUAAAAUGGAGAAACUACAAUUCUAAUUUAAAUAUGAAAUGUAAGCAUUGAAGAUGUCACUUUAUAAUGAAUGAACUCAUGAAUACACAUUGGUGUGGUAUUACUUACAUACAACUCUUCACUUUGAUGAGUUUAUCUACUAUGGGUUUAUUUGUUAAAUAAUAAUUUUUGUGGGUUUCAUGGGUCAAGGUGAACUACAAAUUCAAAUGUUCAUCAAAUGCCAAAUUUUCUAUAAACCUCAUGAAUCCUCGACAAUAAACGAAUCCACAGUAUGUAUUUGUUACAGUGUUGUGAUUAUGGUUCCUUAAAACUGUGUUAUAACUUCUUGAUGGUUAUAUUGGUUCAAAGCAAAAUUUCCCCUGAACAAUGUUGAAAUGUUAAAGUUGUUGAAACCUACAUGUCCUAGAAUUUGAAUAUUAAAUUCUAAUAUCCUUGAAACAGAUUUUACUAUUAUAAAAAUCUAAGGUCAAAACUUUUGACCUCCUAAAUUGAGUUAUUAUUGUUGUAAGAUACAACUUUUAUAUAAUAUUUCAAAUUGUAAUGUACAAUGACAUGCAACACCGCAACGUUGAACAAGGAUUGUUUCUGGGAUACUUUAAAUGUGACUAUAUCUUUUUAUACAUUUAUCAAUAAACUUACAUAAUUCUGAAAGUACUGAACAAUUUAAGUGAAUUGAAACAACCUGGAAUCCCUUACACUAACAAACAUGGGUAUAUUUCUAGUAUCUGUGACCUUGAACCCCCUCGUUAUGUGUAAUAAUGUAUUCAAGUUUGAUUACAAUCCAAUGAAAGUUUCUUUUUGAAGUCACAUGACUGACCAUUCAAAAACAUUACAUCUCUACUACUACAUAUAGUGUUGGUUAUAAAUAUACAAUGUUAAAGUCAGUACUUAAUCAGUAACAUUGUAGACAAAAACAAACUUAUUACAAGCAUGAUUUCUAUAUAUCAUAUUUCUUUCAAAAAAUUUACAAUUUUAUAAACACUGUUAUUUAAAACAUGAUACCUACAAUUUACAAAAAUCAAAAUGAAAGACAAGAGGGAUAACAGCACACAGUAUAAUUUCUUACAUAGAUUCAAUGCUUGUAAUAGAUCAUAACACAAAAUAAAAUUGUCUUGUCCAAAUACAUAUUAAUAGUCGUCAGGAAAUAAAAAAAUAUAUUUCUGACUUCUGAGCAUAAAAGACAGAAGAAUAAUAGUUUUCAUGAAAACAAAAGAAUUUUUCCUUUUCUUAAUGACCGGUGUACAGCUUCAUGUCCAAUAUGGACAAUGUUUAAUAGAUUUUUGAACUUAAAACAUAAAAAUUCAAAAUGUUUUGAGUGUUGGUCCCUUUUAAAAAUAAAUAAAAAGAAAGAAAACCACUAGAUUUAACAACCUUUCAGCCUCUUGUUUAGAAAUAAAGGUCCUACUUCACACCACACUCACUGUGGUGAAGAUAUUAUUGAGAUCCUUAGUUUGUCAUGAUAUACACUUUAAAAAUAUUUUGAAGUUGAAUAUUCAUUGGUUAUCAUAAUAAUGAUUAUCAGACCAGAAAAUAGAACAGAGUUUUCAUAAUUUUGGAAGUUAAACCUAAAUCAUGAGAUCUGUAUCUCAAAUAAUUUGGUUACAAAUCAUGCAUGUUCAAUAUAAUCCUUCCUUUGAGAUAUUCAGUAUGAUUGUUUGACUAAAACAAAAGUUAUAUCAUGAUCACCAUUGUGUGCUUUGACAUUAAAGCAUCUGACCAGUAUAGAUAUAUCAGUUUUAUUUUCUGCGGCCAUUACAAUUUUGUUUUAGAACAAUUUAUCAAAUAUGGAAUAAAAUAGAUUUAAACAACAGAAUAAUUUCCUGACAAUAGCUAUAGUGCUUGUGAGCUGAGGAUUAUUAAAACAUUAUUGGAAAAUUCUUUAUCUGUGUACUUGUUAUAAAUUAUAGAUAUAAUAUAUAUAUGACUGUUAUUCUGAUCGACAGAAAUGUAAACAAUGUUCAUUAAAUACUGAUGCAUCUUACAAUAAAGUAUGAUUUAUAAAGACAUUAAGUAUAAACUAACACAAAAUAUGAUAGUCAAUGCCCAAGAGUAAUAGGAUACACUGCAAUCACAGUAUACCCACAACAUGUUGAUCAGUGAAUAACAAGUAUAACAAGCAUGACUCUUGAUAAAAUAAUUUACUAACUGUAUUCUAUGUUGCAUGUAAAAGUGCUAUUUUGACAGCUUUAACCAUUUAUGGCUGGAUCCUACAAAUUAUAAGCAUGUCAUAGUCCUGAAACCAGUAUUCUGACAAUAGAAACAUCUUGGAAGUUGCAAUUUAAUUGGAAAGAAAAUAGUUCUAUUCAUCAUAUCUAAGUGAAAUCUGAGGUAUAUAUACUUCACUGAAUUGGUUCAUCAGAAAUAAAAAAACGGACUCUACAAAAGUUGUUUUAAAGUCGUCACAAAGUAGGCUUGUAAAAUUGCUUUCUGGUCUGUAAAAAUCAUUUCAAGAUUCUACAGUCUAAUUGAAAUUAACUUAAAUUUCCAUAAAAUUAUGAAGAAAACUAAUCAAGGGGUAAAAAUUUACUGCAUUUCUGCAAAAUGUUUAAUUUUUAGAUAAAUCAGUGUUCAUAACCAUACAAAUUAAAAUAUACUGAAAACUUGUUGUUUAAGACAAAAACAAUCACAUAUGACCUUUAAAACUCUACAUCUUUGAAAGGUCAUGGGGCUUGGUUGUAAAAACUUUUUAAUGCUAUUGAGUUAGAACUUUACCAGUGUUAACUUAAAUCUAAUAAAGCAUGUUUUCAAAAUAAUUUUGCAUAGAACAGUUAAAUAAUCAUUUCAAAACCAUUCAUCAGUCAGGGAUAUUACAUAAUAUAACUUUUAUGACUACUGACAAUUAAAAACUGUUGGAGCAAUGCUGUUAAAAGAAAAAAAAGAAGAAAUAUGACUUUCAUUCUUGUAUAGCAUUUUUUUUAAAAAUUAUUGAUAAAGGGAGAUAACUCAGUUUCUCUGCCUCAAAAUUUAUCUACCAAAACCAGUUAAUACAAGCGACUUGUAUAAGUGUUACUCCUGACUGACCAUUCAUGCCAAAUUAGACUAUUUUUGUGCAUAUUAUAUAUCUAAUAUUUAACAAAUAAAGUUAUUAGGUAUGUAUUUAGCCACCGUUUCUUUAGAAAUAUUGAAACACCUUAACUCCUAUCAAGGCACUUAUAUAAUAAUGCAUUUUAAUAGAUGAAGGCUACGCUGUAAACUUUAUAAUACAUCAAUGGUUUUGAAACAGACUAUAAAGCACUUUGUCACAGUCCACAAAUAAGCAAACAUUUGUUAAUUUUACUAUCCUGAAAAAUAGCACAUUACACAACUAUGGUUUAACACUACUGAACAAAGAAAUGAUACCUUUACAUUGGUUUAAGAGCAUACGAUACAGUUACAGGAGAGGUAAUGACGUUGCUAACGUAAAAUGUUAUUUUCGCGCAUCAAACUGUGACUUAUCGGGAAAAGAUGCAUUUUUCGACUGAUUUUUAUCAUUCAAACUGAUUUCAUUUGAAAACGAGUGCAUGGACCCCUAUUUUUUAAAACAACAUUUUUGUUCAUUUUGCAGGAAGAUUAUGUGGACCAAAUUUUAUAAAACUGUAAAUAGUGCAACUUUUUUAAUUUGGAUAAAUAAACAGCAAAACAGUAUGUUUUUUUUUUCUCAAUUCAUGACCAUUUGAUAAAUA
rnacentral:lncRNA from 1 species